AGAUCUUUUCAAUACCACAUGAUGCAACAGGAAGAAAGAAGAAAUGAAUAAAAAAUAAUCAAAUACAUGGAUCAACCAAAAAGGGCUCACCUCCACGAGACAUGCAAACUUCACUAUGAGGAAAAGAGAUAUUACAAGAGGAGAUCUCACCCUCAACCCUCGUACAUCCAAUUUCUUCCUCACAGGAAGUUCUCUCUCACAAAAGCUCUCCUUCUAGGAAGACCCCUUGAACCCCUGAAGUGACCGC
rnacentral:lncRNA from 1 species